GAUGAACGCUGGCGGCGUGCCUAAUACAUGCAAGUCGAGCGAACAGACGAGGAGCUUGCUCCUCUGACGUUAGCGGCGGACGGGUGAGUAACACGUGGAUAACCUACCUAUAAGACUGGGAUAACUUCGGGAAACCGGAGCUAAUACCGGAUAAUAUAUUGAACCGCAUGGUUCAAUAGUGAAAGACGGUUUUGCUGUCACUUAUAGAUGGAUCCGCGCCGCAUUAGCUAGUUGGUAAGGUAACGGCUUACCAAGGCGACGAUGCGUAGCCGACCUGAGAGGAGGACAGCCCACACUGGAACUGAGACCGGGCCAAGACUCCGAGGGGAGGCAGAAGAGGGGAAUCUUCGACAAAGGGCGAAAGCCGGAGGAAGCACGACCGGGGGGGUGAAGAAGUCUUUAGGGUUGAAAACCCCUUUUGUUGGGAAAGAAAAAAAGUAGAUUAACAAAGCCCCGUUUUGAGGGUACCAAAAGAAAAAGCCCCGGCUAACUCCGUC
rnacentral:rRNA from 1 species